GUAGAGCCCCGAGGUGGCCUUUAAAGAAUGACACUAAAUCUGUGCUCAGACCUUGAUUUCACCUGUGUUCAGACACCACUGUUCAGCAAAACCUGGGUGCCCUUGAGGGUUACCCUUCAAUCUUAGAGAUGCAGUAACAAUCGAGCUGGUCUGGGGAAAGAGCUGGCGUGAUAACAGACUGGUCCUGAACUCCCUCCCAGGAGACUCAACAGUGGGAUUGCUUGUCCCUGUGGAAAAAAAAUCACUCAAUUCCCAGGGACCUCAUUCUUUCCCUAAGAGCCACCUAAACUGCUCGGGGGUGAAAAAUCCUCUUGUGUGAAGUGCCAAGCUGCCUGUAGCAGUGCAUGAUGGGCAUUUUUCUUUUCUUUUUAAAACAACACCAACAAAAACUGUAUUUAUAGAUUGUGAUAAAGUGUAAAUAACUGAAUUUUCCACCGUGGUUUGAAGUCAGCUUUCAGGGCAUUAUGUCUUGUUUUGAUGAAAAGAGAUCACUCUAUACCCCCCUUUUUAAAGGAAAAUUAUCGCAAGAGAAUCAGGAUGUGUAAAGCUAACAUGCAUCGCAAAAAACCAAAGGUGACUGAAAAUUCCUGAGGCUUUUCCUGGAAUAGACUGGGUAUUGGAGACCCAUGUCAGGAAAGGCAGACGGUGAGAGUGAAGUAGUAAGUCAAAGAAGAAGGCGUUGUCUCUCAGUUGCUACCCAGUGUUCCAGGUAAGAAUGAAGAUGCGUCAGAUGCUAGGCUAUUGUGGUUGCCACCAAUAAAGCCAAGUCACCGUUUUCUCACUGAAAAAGAGCAACAGCCUAUUAAAACUUGGGCUUCUCUCCUAUGGGAGUGGAGCAUAGAUCUGAGCCUAGCAAAUGGAGUUGGUAGGAGAUUGGCAUAGUAAUAAAUGCUUGGCUUACAGGUUUUGGCGUUCUGUAGCCCACAAGGCUUUGUCCCAAGAACAAAGGUAGGCUAAGGAAGAAGAGAACUCAAAUUGAAUGCCUACUGUGUCUGCUUACAUUUACAACUGGUAGUGGGAAUGGUAAGAUAAUUUCUGUUGCUUCUAUAGCAAGUCGAGAGUAUAACAUACCAACACUUCUCCAGGUCAAGCAUCCAUUCUCUGGAACAACUGCUUCUUUAAGACCAUAAUCAUACUCAGUAUUCUCUCAGAGGCUGUUUAUGUACAGAUGUACAGUAAAGAUUGUAAGCUGGAUGGUAGUAGCAGUACUUGGGAGGCAGAGGCAGGAGGAUCUCUGAGUUCAAGGCCAGGC
ensembl:lncRNA